rnacentral:rRNA from 1 species
AUUGAACGCUGGCGGCAUGCCUUACACAUGCAAGUCGAACGGUAACAGGUCUUCGGAUGCUGACGAGUGGCGAACGGGUGAGUAAUACAUCGGAACGUGCCUAGUAGUGGGGGAUAACUACUCGAAAGAGUGGCUAAUACCGCAUGAGAUCUACGGAUGAAAGCAGGGGAUCGCAAGACCUUGUGCUACUAGAGCGGCCGAUGGCAGAUGAGGUAGUUGGUGGGAUAAAAGCUUACCACGCGGACGAUCUGUAGCUGGUCUGAGAGGACGAUCAGCCACACUGGGACUGAGACAGGGGCCAGCCUCCGACGGGAGGCAGCAGUGGGGAAUUUUGGACAAUGGGCGAAAGCCUGAUCCAGCAAUGCCGCGUGCAGGAUGAAGGCCUUCGGGUUGUAAACUGCUUUUGUACGGAACGAAAAGCCCCGGGUUAAUACCCUGGGGUCAUGACGGUACCGUAAGAAUAAGCACCGUCUAACUACGUGCCAGCAGCCGCGGUAA